rnacentral:lncRNA from 1 species
GAGCGGCGGGAUAUUCUGAAAAGGAUGGGAAGAUGCUACGUGUGCCUAGGACAACGGCACAUAGCAAGAAACUGCAGAAUUAAAGACGCAUCCUGUUGCCAAUGUGGAAAAAGACAUCACAGUGCAGUAUGUGUAAAUGGUGCAGAACCUACACUUAUCACCAGUGACAAGGUAGAAGAUGUGGUCUCUUCAUUCGCAACUCAGUCCAUGAAGGUGAGACGUAAAGGUCAUAGUACAGUGCUGCUACAGACUGCCCAAGCACAUGCCGUGGGUCCAGGUGGACAGACAGUAGUGCGAUGUCUGCUAGAUGGCGGAAGUCAGAGGAGCUUUGUGUGUGAAAAGCAGUCAAGGGCUCUGAAGCUACCUGUGAUAAGACAAGAGACUUUCACUCUCCACACAUUCGGCUCCGCUGCUCCUGUGACAACCAAACGCAACACUGUGAAACUGGUUCUGGAGAACCUGUGGAAUAAAGGACAGAAAAUAGAAAUUGAAGCGAUUGAGAUACCACAAGUAUGCACUGCUGUGAUGAAGGUUCCAGGUGAGCAGAUCCAGCGUGAACUGAAAAGAAGAAGACUGCAGUUUGCAGAUGCAGUUGAUGAUGGCGCUGAUGACACAGAGUUGUCAGUGCUAAUAGGAGCGGACUACUACUGGAGCACGGUAUCAGGCCGUGUAGAGAGACUUACUGAUACACUUGUUGCACUUGAGAGUGUGUUUGGAUGGUCUGUACAGGGCCCAGUGACAAUGUCAAGCGUUACUGAAGCAACAUGCAUGCACAUCCGCAUUGAAGAAGACACACUGAUUUCAAGCCAGCUGAAGGCCUUCUGGGAAAUAGAAUCUCUUGGCAUUACGAAAGAAGAACCAAGUGAUCCAGAUGAAGAAGAGGCGCUUCAAAGGUUUGAAAACACAACUCAAUUCAAGAAUGGGCGAUAUGCAGUGGAGUUGCCAUGGCGGCAUGAGAAACCAGAACUCCCAGACAACUACAGAAUCGCAAAAAGAAGAUUUGAAGGACUGAAACGGAGGCUGCGGGCAGACGUAGUCUUCUUCCAGAGAUAUAACGAAGUGAUGGAGGAUUAUCUGCAACAGGGCAU